CAAACAAAAUUCAUAGGAAAAUGAACAAUUCAUUACUAAACGGAUAUUGGUGGCGCUACUUACAACUCUCAAAGUCGUAAGGAAGAGCAUCAUGCGUUUAUAGUGAAUCAGAAAUAUAAAAAGCCUGUC
rfam:Proteiniphilum saccharofermentans isolate M3/6 genome assembly, chromosome: I